CACAAUUUCGUUUUAAUGAAUUUCGCGUUUUAAACAAAUUUCUGCGGUGCUCAGCAUAACGAACCUAGCAUAAACUAAAUACUAAAAUCGACUAAACAACAAAAAAAGCAUGGU